rnacentral:rRNA from 1 species
GCUGGCGGCAUGCCUAACACAUGCAAGUCGAACGGGAAGCCAUCUUCGGAUGGUGGAGAGUGGCGCACGGGUGAGUAACGCGUGGGUAUCUGCCCUGGAGUGGGGGACAACCGCUGGAAACGGCGGCUAAUACCGCAUACGCCCUUAGGGGGAAAGCUUUAUGCGCUCCAGGAUGAGCCCGCGUCGGAUUAGCUUGUUGGUGAGGUAACGGCUCACCAAGGCGACGAUCCGUAGCUGGUCUGAGAGGAUGAUCAGCCACACUGGGACUGAGACACGGCCCAGACUCCUACGGGAGGCAGCAGUGGGGAAUAUUGGACAAUGGGGGCAACCCUGAUCCAGCAAUGCCGCGUGUGUGAAGAAGGCCUUCGGGUUGUAAAGCACUUUCACUCGCGAAGAUGAUGACGGUAGCGAGAGAAGAAGCCCCGGCUAACUCCGUGCCAGCAGCCGCGGUAAUACGGAGGGGGCUAGCGUUGUUCGGAAUUACUGGGCGUAAAGGGCGUGUAGGCGGCUUCGACAGUCAGGCGUGAAAGCCCCGGGCUUAACCUGGGAAUUGCGCUUGAUACAUCGAGGCUAGAGUUCGGGAGAGGA